AACGAACGCUGGCGGCAUGCCUAACACAUGCAAGUCGAACGAGACCUUCGGGUCUAGUGGCGCACGGGUGCGUAACGCGUGGGAACCUGCCCUUAGGUUCGGAAUAACUCCCCGAAAGGGGUGCUAAUACCGGAUAAUGUCUUCGGACCAAAGAUUUAUCGCCUUUGGAUGGGCCCGCGUUGGAUUAGCUAGUUGGUAGGGUAAAAGCCUACCAAGGCGAGGAUCCAUAGCUGGUCUGAGAGGCUGAUCAGCCACACUGGGACGAAGACACGGCCGAGACUACUACGGGAGGGGGGAGUGGGGAAUAUUGGAAAAUGGGCGAAAGGCUGAUCCAGCAAGGCCGGGUGAGUGAUGAAGGCCUUAGGGUUGUAAAGCUCUUUUACCCGGGAUGAUAAUGACAGUACCGGGAGAAUAAGCUCCGGCUAACUCCGUG
rnacentral:rRNA from 1 species